CAAAAAAAGAUAAAUUCCAACUCACCAACCAUUGUGAACCGACCCUUCUGUUGCUUCGGCGGGAGGCGCCUCGGCGCCCCUCGGCCGAUCCCCCGCCCCCGCGGCGUGGGGGGAGGCUCCCGCCGGAGGAAUACCCCAAACCCUUUGCAGCACAUGGCCUCUCUGAGUUUAUGUACUGAAUAAGUCAAAACUUUCAACAACGGAUCUCUUGGUUCUGGCAUCGAUGAAGAACGCAGCGAAAUGCGAUAAGUAAUGUGAAUUGCAGAAUUCAGUGAAUCAUCGAAUCUUUGAACGCACAUUGCGCCCGCCGGUAUUCCGGCGGGCAUGCCUGUUCGAGCGUCAUUUCAACCAUCAAGCCCUGGGCUUGUGUUGGGGACCUGCGGCUGCCGCAGGCCCUGAAAUGCAGUGGCGGGCUCGCAAGACACACCGAGCGUAGUAGCUUACAACCUCGCUUUGGGAGUGCUGCGGGUGCUGGCCGUAAAGCGACCCUUUGCGUCUUUAGCACUAGGUUGACCUCGGAUCAGGUAGGAGGACCCGCUGAACUUAAGCAUAUCAAUAAGCGGAGGAA
rnacentral:rRNA from 1 species